rnacentral:rRNA from 1 species
GACGGAGGAUGCAAGCGUUAUCCGGAAUGAUUGGGCGUAAAGCGUCCGCAGGUGGCAGUUCAAGUCUGCUGUCAAAGACCGGGGCUUAACUUCGGAAAGGCAGUGGAAACUGAACAGCUAGAGUAUGGUAGGGGCAGAGGGAAUUCCUGGUGUAGCGGUGAAAUGCGUAGAUAUCAGGAAGAACAUCGGUGGCGAAGGCGCUCUGCUGGACCAUAACUGACACUCAGGGACGAGAGCUAGGGGAGCGAAUGGG